rnacentral:rRNA from 1 species
UACAGAGGUCCCAAGCGUUGUUCGGAUUCAUUGGGCGUAAAGGGUGCGUAGGCGGCGCGGUAAGUCGGGUGUGAAAUCUCGGAGCUUAACUCCGAAACUGCAUUCGAUACUGCCGUGCUUGAGGACUGGAGAGGAGACUGGAAUUUACGGUGUAGCGGUGAAAUGCGUAGAUAUCGGAAGGAACAUCAGUGGCGAAAGCGGCUUCCUGGACCAGCACCGACGUCAGGCACGAAAGCGUGGGGAGCAAACAGG